GUAGUCCACGCCGUAAACGAUGAUAACUCGCUGUCGGGACGAUUUAGUCUCGGUGGCUUAGCGAAAGCGUUAAGUUAUCCACCUGGGGAGUACGGUCGCAAGACUGAAACUCAAAGGAAUUGACGGGGGCCCGCACAAGCGGAGGAACAUGUGGUUUAAUUCGAUGAUACGCGAGGAACCUUACCCGGGCUCGAACGGCUAAUGAGUAGUGUGGAAACAUGCUAGCCAGCAAUGGCAUUAGUCGAGGUGCUGCAUGGUUGUCGUCAGCUCGUGCCGUGAGGUGUCGGCUUAAGUGCCAUAACGAGCGCAACCCUUGUCGUUAGUUGCCAGCGGGUAAUGCCGGGGACUCUAGCGAGACUGCCAGCGUAAGCUGCGA
rnacentral:rRNA from 1 species